UGUUAUUGUGGUGGUAAUUGAAUGGCAGAAUCGUCGAUGGAUCAGGUUGUUAGGAUCUUAUCACAAAAUUUUGUGGAGCUUUUCUGGUUGUGGGAAUUUUGUGGAUCUUAUCAAAUAUUGAGAAAACUAAUUGAGAGGUACGAGAUCGUUGUCCCGGAAAAAAACAUGAAAUGAGAUAGGGACUAUGAUUUUUGUUUUGUCAAUUGUCCAGGGAAAUGUCUCUAUUUUGCUCGUGCACAAUGGCACUCUCUCUAGAAUUCAUCAAAUAAAUACCAGAACAAUGUCAUUGUCCUGUCCUAAUUGGAUUAGGAUGUAUG
rnacentral:lncRNA from 1 species